rfam:Streptomyces sp. CdTB01, complete genome.
CGGGCCGUGUACUCCCAGAUGGCGUCGGGGUCCAGCAGCGCGGACUCGCCGAGGUAGGAGCCGUCGCCGAGCACGCCGAGGACCGCAUCGUCGCCGUAGGGGCCCGUGCCGACCUUCUCGACCCUGCCGUGCGCCAGCAGGAAGACCUCGUCCGUCCGGCUGCCGAAGGAGGCGAUCAGCGAUCCUGGCGCGUACUCCUGCUGCCGGCAGCGCUGGGCGAGUUCGGACAGCACCUCCUCGUCCUCGUAGGAGCGCAGCGCGGGCAGCUCACCCAGUUCGGCGGGGAUGACCUCGACGCGGUCGCCCGUCUUCACGAACGUGAUGCGUCCGUCCCCCACCGCGUAGGUCAGCCGCCGGUUCACCCGGUACGUACCGCCCUGCACGUUCACCCACGGCAGCAUGCGCAGCAGCCAGCGGGAGCUGAUCUCCUGCAUCUGCGGCGCGGACUUGGUCGUGGUGGCCAGGUUCCGCGCGGCGGCGGUGCCGAGACUCUGCUGCGGCCUGCCCU